CAAGUCGAACGGCAGCACGGACUUCGGUCUGGUGGCGAGUGGCGAACGGGUGAGUAACAUAUCGGAACGUAUCCAAUAAUGGGGGAUAACUAAUCGAAAGGUUGGCUAAUACCGCAUACGCCCUACGGGGGAAAGCUAGGGACCUUCGGGCCUGGCGUUAAUGGAGCGGCCGAUAUCUGAUUAGCUAGUUGGUGAGGUAAAGGCUCACCAAGGCGACGAUCAGUAGCUGGUCUGAGAGGACGACCAGCCACACUGGAACUGAGACACGGUCCAGACUCCUACGGGAGGCAGCAGUGGGGAAUUUUGGACAAUGGGCGCAAGCCUGAUCCAGCCAUUCCGCGUGAGUGAAGAAGGCCUUCGGGUUGUAAAGCUCUUUCGCAAGGGAAGAAAACUUAUCCUCUAACAUAGGAUGAGGUUGACGGUACCUUGAUAAGAAGCACCGGCUAACUACGUGCCAGCAGCCGCGGUAAUACGUAGGGUGCGAGCGUUAAUCGGAAUUACUGGGCGUAAAGCGUGCGCAGGCGGCUUUGUAAGUCAGAUGUGAAAUCCCCGGGCUCAACCUGGGAACUGCGUUUGAAACUACAAGGCUAGAGUAUGGUAGAGGGGGGUAGAAUUCCACGUGUAGCAGUGAAAUGCGUAGAGAUGUGGAGGAAUACCAAUGGCGAAGGCAGCCCCCUGGACUAAUACUGACGCUCAUGCACGAAAGCGUGGGGAGCAAACAGGAUUAGAUACCCUGGUAGUCCACGCCCUAAACGAUGUCUACUAGUUGUUGGGAGAGUAAAAUCUCUUAGUAACGCAGCUAACGCGUGAAGUAGACCGCCUGGGGAGUACGGUCGCAAGAUUAAAACUCAAAGGAAUUGACGG
rnacentral:rRNA from 1 species